GUCUGUGCAGAGGUCAUUGAUGCACAGUCUGGCCUGCUCUCUGAAGUUUUAAAGGGCCGCGGUAUUUGGACCGUGCUAAGGUAGCAUAAUAAAUAGUCUUUUAAUUGGAGUCUAGAAUGAAUGGUCGGACAUGAGGUAAGCUGUUUUAAUUGUAAAUUUUGAAUUUUACUUUUAAGUGAAAAGGCUUAAAUUCAACAAAGGGACGAUAAGACCCUAUAAAGCUUUAUAUUUAUUUUGUUAGUUUUAGUAUUUACGGUGUUCUAUUCUUAUAAAGUUAAGUAUUUCGUUGGGGUGACGAGAAUAUAAAAUAAUAACUGUUUAUAAAUAAAAAUAGACUUUUUUAGAUGAGUUGAUCCUUCAUAGGGACUAAAAGAAUCAAGUUACUUUAGGGAUAACAGCGUGAUUUUUCUUGAGAGUUCAUAUCGACAGAUAUAGUUGCGACCUCGAUGUUGAAUUAAAAUUUUUCCAAGAUGCAGCAGUUUUGGCGGUAGGUCUGUUCGACCUUUAAAAUUUUACAUGAUUUGAGUUCAGACCGGCGUG
rnacentral:rRNA from 1 species